UUAAACCUGAAACUACAACGGAGCUUAACUGUAGAAGAGAUUGAAAGAAAGAAGGCGGUCUGUUUUCCCCUGCUUCCUCGAUUUCCAAGUCUUCUCUUCGUUUCUCAAGUGGAGACAUUCUCUGGAGUUGACGCAAAUGGAACUUCAUAUCCCAAAGAAGCAGCAAGUGUUCAUACCUUUCUAGUUGUCAUAGAGCAAGGGAGGAAAAGAGGGAUGGAGAAAAGGAAAAGUACAUUGAGAUCCAAAGGAAACUCACAGGUACCAUUUUCCUUUCUGGCUUUAAUAGAGAGAGAUGUGCUGGAAACCAGAAUGCCUUCAUUGACUGAUCACAGAAAGAGGCUUUAUGCAGCAUUUCAGGUUGAAGAAAAACAUAAGCACGUUUUCAAGCAAAGAUUUAAGAACUAUAUUCAACUAUUGGUUGCCACGUGCCCCCACAACCAGCUGAAUUCCUGGCCCUGCUAAUGGCUGUAAUGUAAACACUGGUUUUGUUGUCAGCCUUAAAACAUGAAGUUUAUUG